UACGAAGGGGGCUAGCGUUGUUCGGAAUUACUGGGCGUAAAGCGCACGUAGGCGGACUAUUAAGUCAGGGGUGAAAUCCCGGGGCUCAACCCCGGAACUGCCUUUGAUACUGGUAGUCUCGAGUCCGGAAGAGGUGAGUGGAAUUCCGAGUGUAGAGGUGAAAUUCGUAGAUAUUCGGAGGAACACCAGUGGCGAAGGCGGCUCACUGGUCCGGUAAUGACGCUGAGGUGCGAAAGCGUGGGGAGCAAAAAGG
rnacentral:rRNA from 1 species